ACCUCACUUCCUAAUGGCAGCUCUAGGGUUACAAUGCACACAAAGAACUGUAGACAACAAGAGCAAUUAAAGGUCUCUAGUUUACAACAAGAAAAGAAGGGCCACAGCAGGAACUGAUGUUUGUAAAUACAAAGUCAAAGUUUCUAUUUGCUGAGGAGAUGUGACAAAUCUCACCCAAUCAGCCCACAAAGCCUUAUGUAAAGCAGGUGCCCCUUCUCCAGACAGCCUUGAAGAAGGUAGACCAUUGCAGCCUGUUAUCCUCCCUCCUUGUGCUGUAAAUCACAAAGCAGACAAUUGUUGUGACAAUUUUAUUGAAAGAGGAAACAGCUUUACAAGAACAUUGUCUCAGUCUCAGUCACUUGCUUUAGUGUGAUCUCUACAACCUGCAAAUAUCCUCAGCUCUGUCACCUAGACAGAAGAAAUAGCAUUGAUAGAAGCCUUUAACCCUUUUUUUUUUUAUCCAGGCAGCCAUCUGUUAAACUGUUGCAAUUUUUUUGCAAGUGGAACUUCCACAUUGAGAAAAUUCCUUCAGUCAUUCUUCAACACAGAGAAAAAAAAAAAAGCCAAAUAGGAGGAUCCCCUGAGGCACAGAGUUUUUAACUUGGCCAAUCCUGCUGGCCUAAUGUCUGCAACCUAAGCCAGUGUGUAAGCUGGGAGUGCGUCACGUGGUCACCUCCACCCCUCCUUUCCCUCUGCUGCCUUUUCAGAAGACAGGAAAAAAAAAUCCCCAGUUCAUGUAAGGUCUGCAGCUCUAGGAGAUGCACAAUCUCAGUCUCCUGCAGACCGUGUGUUUUCAUCUGCCUCUCUAGAGCCUCUGAAGAUCAGGAAUGUCUGGACAGAAACGUGCCCAUAUCCUGUAACACUCUGGUCUAUCCACUUAUGAAAGGUCUCACAGCUUACUCUACCGGAGCACAUUUAUCUUGAUGGUUUGCCAGCUGUUCGCCGAGAACACUGAUUAGCCUUCCAUCUGCAAUUACCUCAGCUGACUACAGGGUACCAAUUAAAUGAAUAUCGAAGCACAUCCCGGGAAAGGGUUAAUUCUGGAGUCGCCACAAAAGAUCCACAACGAAUAAUACUUCUGAUGAAACUACAUGCUUGGAUCAUAAUAAAUGCUUACAUGAGCCAAGUUUAAAAUGGCAGCCUGCUUUUAUCAGGACACCAUUCAAGCUGAUAAACGCCAUGCUUAUUUUAGGACUGUCUUGAUGAACAUUCAACGCUGUCGGUGAGUUUGGUAUUAGAAGGCAAACCAUCGAUCGUUGACUGUACAUCACGACAAGACCAUUGUCUGCAGAACUUCAUACAUGCCAUUUUUAUUAUGCCUUAUAAUCCACUGGCUCCAACUUCAAACCAACAGGAAUCUAAAAUGUCUGUGUUUUAUUAAUAAUGUUUUAGAUAUUGUUUUACAUUACUUGAUUCUCUCAAAAAAUGUUGUGCCUGUUUAAAGCCACAUGAUGAGUAUAUUGUGGCUCUGAUGAACUUGCAGUCUGCCUUUCAUCGGAUAAAAAGCUUAUCACUUUGGUAUCCUAAAAACAUUAAAAUAAGGAUUUAUCUAAGUUAUAAAUUAAACCUGUAAAUACUGUCUGUAAAACAUGGAAUUGAGUUAUAUUUUAGAUUAGUUUGUGUUCUCUUGAUAAUACAAAUUUGAUGUUGUACUGUGCAUACUUCAAACUUAUUUUCUUGUUUUUACUUUUGUGUCUAAAUAUUUAAACUUCUUAACUUAUUUUACUUUAGUGUCCAAUUAUUAUAAUCACCUAAGUUGGAAAUAAUUUUUUUGCAAGCCAUCUGAUACACCUGUCUACUAUCAAGUUGUUCCGAUUCAGAAUGGAGUGCUUUUUGAAGAAACUGAAUGAAAGGUCACAUUUAACAUUCAUUGCUGUCGGUGGGUUGAGUUUAGUGAAUAAACUCGCUGAACAAUGAAUGCAACUGUGUCCCCACUUUAAACAUGGGAAGAAACAGAUAUUUAGACCUUUGCUGAUAAUAUAAAGGACUGUAUCCUAUCCAUAACAAACAAAAGAUUAAUAUUGGGACUCAUAGCAUUAUAAUGUCUGGAGUCAUCUAACGUGCAUCAUUGAUUGUGACUCACCGAUUGGUGCAUUUUACAUUGCAGCAUAAACUCAAAAGUGAUAUGUUGUUUGUGCUAUGUAGCAUUGUUUCAUUUUUUUCUGCUUCCUUUUUUUUAAUUUAACAUGUGAGAAUUUCAUGGCUAUCAUCAGCUAGACAAAUAGACCUACAGGGUCAUUUAAAUGCUGGAGAUGUGCAGUUUGCAGGACAUACUUGAAAUUCAUGAAAGAAACUUGACUCAGUCACACACACAUGUCAAAUAAAGGAAAGGAAAAUGAAACAAA